ACGAACGCUGGCGGCGUGCUUAACACAUGCAAGUCGCACGGAAAGGCCCUGCUUUUGUGGGGUGCUCGAGUGGCGAACGGGUGAGUAACACGUGAGUAACCUGCCCUUGACUUUGGGAUAACUUCAGGAAACUGGGGCUAAUACCGGAUAGGAGCUCCUGCUGCAUGGUGGGGGUUGGAAAGUUUCGGCGGUUGGGGAUGGACUCGCGGCUUAUCAGCUUGUUGGUGGGGUAGUGGCUUACCAAGGCUUUGACGGGUAGCCGGCCUGAGAGGGUGACCGGCCACAUUGGGACUGAGAUACGGCCCAGACUCCUACGGGAGGCAGCAGUGGGGAAUAUUGCACAAUGGGCGGAAGCCUGAGGCAGCAACGCCGCGUGCGGGAUGACGGCCUUCGGGUUGUAAACCGCUUUCGCCUGUGACGAAGCGUGAGUGACGGUAAUGGGUAAAGAAGCACCGGCUAACUACGUG
rnacentral:rRNA from 1 species